GCCAGACUCCUACGGGAGGCAGCAGUGAGGAAUAUUGGUCAAUGGGCGAGAGCCUGAACCAGCCAAGUCGCGUGAGGGAAGACGGCCCUACGGGUUGUAAACCUCUUUUGUCAGGGAGCAAGAACGGAUACGUGUAUCCGAGCGAGAGUACCUGAAGAAAAAGCAUCGGCUAACUCCGUGCCAGCAGCCGCGGUAAUACGGAGGAUGCGAGCGUUAUCCGGAUUUAUUGGGUUUAAAGGGUGCGUAGGCGGACGCUUAAGUCAGCGGUAAAAUUGCGGGGCUCAACCUCGUCGAGCCGUUGAAACUGGGUGCCUUGAGUGGGCGAGAAGUACGCGGAAUGCGUGGUGUAGCGGUGAAAUGCAUAGAUAUCACGCAGAACUCCGAUUGCGAAGGCAGCGUACCGGCGCCCAACUGACGCUGAAGCACGAAAGCGUGGGGAUCGAACAGGAUUAGAUACCCUUGUAU
rnacentral:rRNA from 1 species